CCGCGACGUCGCGAGAAGUCCACUGAACCUUAUCAUUUAGAGGAAGGAGAAGUCGUAACAAGGUUUCCGUAGGUGAACCUGCGGAAGGAUCAUUGUCGAGACCCGAAUGGACGAUUGUGAACCCGUCGAUGCUUCGGUGAGGGGCGGAGGGAGGACGGCACCCGCUCGCCCGACCCCGUCACCCCGGAUGCCCCAUGGCCGCCCUCGCCCUGCCUCGCAGCGGGACGGGCGGCGGGAACAAGACCCGGCGCGGUGGGCGCCAAGGAAUAGUGAUGUCGGAGAGCGCCGCGCGUCGGUUUUGUACGUGCGGCGUGACCCUUCCAUACAUACGUCAAACUUUUAUGACUCUCGGCAACGGAUAUCUUGGCUCUCGCAUCGAUGAAGAACGUAGCGAAAUGCGAUACUUGGUGUGAAUUGCAGAAUCCCGUGAACCAUCGAGUUUUUGAACGCAAGUUGCGCCCGAGGCCAUCCGGCCGAGGGCACGCCUGCUUGGGCGUCACGCCUCGCGUCGCUCCGCACACCCCUGCCCCCCAUACUGGGAGGUGGCGGGCGCGGAUGCGGAGACUGGCCCCCCGUGCCUCGCGGUGCGGCGGGCUGAAGUGAGGGCCGCCGGUCGGGACGGAUGCGGCGAGUGGUGGACGGACACGAACGGCGCUCGGCGUUGCCUCCGCCCCCCGAUCCUAGCGGUCCAUCAAGGAACCCAUGCCGUCGGGCGAGCGUGCCCCUCGGAACACGACCCCAGGUCAGGCGGGGCCACCCGCUGAGCUUAAGCAUAUCAAUAAGCGGAGGAGAAG
rnacentral:rRNA from 1 species